rnacentral:lncRNA from 1 species
AAAAAAAUGCUAAAAAAUAAGGCAUAAAUCUGCAUAAUAUUCAGUUUUAUUUCCAUUCUCUCCUUUCCCUCUACUAUGUAUGCUUUACCUGAUCUGCCUCUAGGGGCUUACAAGAAAAUGGUUUCCGGUUUCCAUCUUCAAUUUGACCUCAAAUGUCCUGAGCAAAGUUUUUGCUCUUCUGCUGAGGGUUCUUUUGUUGGUAAGCUUUAGAUAUCGUUAUUUCUGCUAAUUCAGUAGUUUUGAUCGUAGUGCCAAAUUUAAAUUCUUCCACUGGUUCUUCUGUAAGGAAUUAAACUUUUAUGGU